AUGACGCGUGUGCAAGUCGAGUCGGACAGCAAAGAGUUGGUGAAGGCACUGACUACCAGGGAAGCAGACCGGGUGGCUGAAGGCAUCAUAUUCAGAGAUAUAUGCGAGUUUGCCCGUCUGAAUUUUAGCCGAAUUUCAUUCUCUUUUGCCCCAAGGGGUUGUAAUGCUUUAGCGCAUGUUGUAGCUUCUUUUCGAGCAAUGAGCACUGCUGCUCGGGAGAUUUGGCUUGAAGCCCUCCCAGACGAUGUAAGUGUGCGACGGGCCAGCAGCUUGGCUGGACCUGGUUAA
rnacentral:rRNA from 1 species